GCCAGUUUCCCCAUCUAAAAGUGGAAAUAUUCCACAUAGUGCUGAGCUUGUCAGUGAACUGGCCCUGGGGAGACCCCGCACUCUCUGCAAAGUCCAGGAGGGUCUCUUGGCGGGGGUCCCCUACAGAGAAGCCACCUCCCCUGCAAACAAUACAAAGACAACAAGGCAACAAGGACCUCUGUUGGCCUCGGGCUUUUAGAACCAAAAUGAGCCAAGAUGAUCAGUGGUACCCAGGCCACAGGAGAACAUUCAAGUGUGACGUCCCCAAGUAUGUUCAAGGAAGAGCAUUGGUGUGGGGCACCUGGGUGGUGCCGUUGGUGAAGCAUCUUAUUCAGCUCAGGUCAGGACCUCAUGCGUUGUGAGAUGGAAUUGGGCUCUUUCCCUCUGCUCCUCCUUCAACUCAUGCUCUCUAAAAUAAAUCUUUUUUAAAAAUCAUGUUUAUUUAGGAAAACAUAAUUCUCGUGACGUCCUUGUUGGAGAUACUUUACGCUAAAAAUGAAAACCCUGCAAGCGCCGUGUAGGGCCACCCUCGCUUAGAGGCGCUAAACCAGGAAAGACCUUCCGGGCCGCGCACGCGCACAGCGCUCUGCCGCAGAGGCCCGACACCACCGCGCAAACCGCCGGGGGGCUGAAGGGGGGAGGGGCCCGCGCACGCGCAGAGCUGCACAACAUGGCGGCUACGAGAGGUCAGGGAAGGGAGAGAGAGGAGAGGCCUUGCCAGAGACCCCAAGAGGGUUGAAAUACGGUUCCUCCCUAUACCAGACUGGAUUCCACCAGAGCACGUCCUGGCUGUCUUGCUCCCUUCCCGCUGCAUCUUCAGCCCCAAACAGCAUUAUUCUUGCCCCAGCCCCUGCCCUGGGAAGCCUGCAAGUCUUCCCUUCUGCUGUUGCUUAUUUGUGUCCUUCAGGCCACAGGUCAGGGUCUCAAAAUAACCCAUGUUCAGAUGUCCCUGAACGUGGCCUUCUACUUCAGAACCGGACCCCAUGGGGAAAACAUGAAGGGUUCGUAUAUCUAGCCUCCCAGUUAUAAGAGCAGAGCAAUGGUGUGGUGGGACCAUAGAUUCAAUAUUACAUAAAACAUUUAGGACCUUUACUGAGUAAAGAGCUUUGAGAGAAAACUCUGGUGGACAAUGACAUAGAGACUUGGAUGGUGCCUCACACAUGAGAGAUGGUUUCCCUGCACAAGCCAUUGAAUAAAUGCAAAUUGAAACAAGAUUCCUUUUCUCCUAUCAGAGGGCUAGAGAUGAAAACAUCAUAAUAUCCCUUGUUGACAGGGAGGGAUGCAAAUGGGCGUCCUAUCUGCACCAAAGACCUCAAAAUGAGAUGGCCCUCAUCUGCGUGGUUCUGGGACCCCUUGUCAUGUAGAGAAACAUCAACCCUCAUCCAAAAAUAAGAGAAAAGCAUCUGUAGUCCUUGUUAUGGCCUUUCAAGAAAAUACCAAAGGGGAACUUCUCAAAUUAUAGCUUCUCUCCUUUGCCCUCUGGUGUGUGGAUCCUGGGGAGGCUGUCUCUUGUGCCCCUCUUCUCCUGGCUCCUCUGGGGCAGCUGGGUGGGCAUGGGCACCAGGCUCAGUCUUUAAUCUGUUCUCUAGCCCACCAUGACCUCACUCCUCAUGAGAAAGGGGCCAGAGCCUUACCCUCAGCCCCUCUUGGGGGCCUGGGGUCAGUGGUGGGUAAGAUGCUGAGAUGUGUGGCUGCAGGUGCUAGCCCGUGUUUACAUGUUUCCGUUCGGUCUCAUUGCAUGUGGUGUGUUGUACAUUAGAAUCACCCUGAAGUUAGCAGGUAAACCAAACUCUCAUGAAAAAAAACGAGGUGAAGGAAAAGAGUGCAGGGAGAGUGCUUUUGUGAAGCUCUGAUCUAAAAAUAUGUGCAGAGCAACCAUGUCUCAAAAGCCCCACCCAGAGCAAUGGUCCAUACCUUGGGGGAGAUGCUUCCCGGCGCUGCCAAUGCUGUUUCCCCUCAGAUUUUUGCCUAGUGGCUAGAAACUAUUGUUAUGAUGUUGUGUGCCUAAUGGUGAUAUUUUACUUCCUUCAUCCCUUCUACAUUUAUUAACAAGAGCUUUCCUGUAGGAAAACACUGUUCCUUCUCCCACAUUUAUAUACUUAUUUGGAUGUUUAUAUCAGUAUGAUAUAAACAUAGCAUGAUCUUUGUGGAAGGAGGGGAAACUUUUGUGCUAGGCCUUCAUUUAUGUUUUUUUGAUCCUUUAGUGAGUGUGGGGAACACCUCUGUUGUUUCUAGCUCCCCC
rnacentral:lncRNA from 1 species